CCUGGCAUGUAGCAGGUUCUCAAUAAGUAUUUGUUGAAAGAAUAAAUGAACCAACAAAUCUUAGUUGAGCACCUGUUAUGUGGAGG
rnacentral:pre_miRNA from 1 species